GACGAACGCUGGCGGCGUGCUUAACACAUGCAAGUCGAACGGAAAGGCCCUGCUUUUGCGGGGUGCUCGAGUGGCGAACGGGUGAGUAACACGUGAGUAACCUGCCCUUGACUUUGGGAUAACUUCAGGAAACUGGGGCUAAUACCGGAUAGGAGCUCCUGCUGCAUGGUGGGGGUUGGAAAGUUUCGGCGGUUGGGGAUGGACUCGCGGCUUAUCAGCUUGUUGGUGGGGUAGUGGCUUACCAAGGCUUUGACGGGUAGCCGGCCUGAGAGGGUGACCGGCCACAUUGGGACUGAGGUACGGCCCAGACUCCUACGGGAGGCAGCAGUGGGGAAUAUUGCACAGUGGGCGGAAGCCUGAUGCAGCAACGCCGCGUGCGGGAUGACGGCCUUCGGGUUGUAAACCGCUUUCGCCUGUGACGAAGCGUGAGUGACGGUAAUGGGUAAAGAAGCACCGGCUAACUACGUG
rnacentral:rRNA from 1 species